rnacentral:tRNA from 2 species
UGGGGAAUAGUGUAACGGUAGCACGAAUGCCUCUGGAGCAUUCUGUCUAGGUUCGAAUCCUAGUUCCCCAG